rnacentral:rRNA from 1 species
UACGUAGGGUGCAAGCGUUGUCCGGAAUUAUUGGGCGUAAAGAGCUCGUAGGCGGUCUGUCGCGUCGGCUGUGAAAACUCGGGGCUCAACUCCGAGCUUGCAGUCGAUACGGGCAGGCUAGAGUUCGGCAGGGGAGACUGGAAUUCCUGGUGUAGCGGUGAAAUGCGCAGAUAUCGGGAGGAACACCAGUGGCGAAGGCGGCUACCUGGCACAUAACUGACGCUGAUACGCGAAAGCGUGGGGAGCGAACCGG